GGGUUUGAUUGUGAUCCCGGGAAAACAAUCGGAGUGGUUCUAGUCGGUGAGCCUGGGAAAACCGACCGAGUUCGUUGUGACCUCGUAAAACAACAAGUUGGGUUGUGAGCUUGUAAAACAACCGGCUGUAAUCUGUAGGAUUAUAGUGAAAUUCCCAAGAGGUCUUGGGGAGUGGAUGUAGGUGCUGGGAUGCACCGAACCACUAUAUUUUUGUUGUGUUUGUGAUGCUCUUUGUUGACUGACC
rnacentral:lncRNA from 1 species